GUGUCGAGAAUAUUACGUUCCUUUUUAUUUUAACCAGUUGCCGAAAGAAAUACUUCAACAGCAUUCCCAAAAAGAAGCCAAACAACAAAUUAAAGCAUGGUUACUUCAUCGUCAAAAUAUUUGACACCUGCUCUUCCAGCCCAAGCU
rnacentral:lncRNA from 1 species